rnacentral:rRNA from 1 species
GAUGAACGCUGGCGGUGUGCUUAACACAUGCAAGUCGAACGGUGAAGCAGGAGCUUGCUCUUGUGGAUCAGUGGCGAACGGGUGAGUAACACGUGAGUAACCUGCCCCUGACUCUGGGAUAAGCGCUGGAAACGGCGUCUAAUACUGGAUAUGUGAUGUGACCGCAUGUUCUGCAUCUGGAAAGAAUUUCGGUUGGGGAUGGGCUCGCGGCCUAUCAGCUUGUUGGUGAGGUAAUGGCUCACCAAGGCGUCGACGGGUAGCCGGCCUGAGAGGGUGACCGGCCACACUGGGACUGAGACACGGCCCAGACUCCUACGGGAGGCAGCAGUGGGGAAUAUUGCGCAAUGGGCGGAAGCCUGAUGCAGCAACGCCGCGUGAGGGAUGACGGCCUUCGGGUUGUAAACCUCUUUCAGCAGGGAAGAAGCGAAAGUGACGGUACCUGCAGAAAAAGCACCGGCUAACUACGUGCCAGCCGCCGCGGUAA